rnacentral:rRNA from 1 species
AGAGUUUGAUCCUGGCUCAGGACGAACGCUGGCGGCGUGCUUAACACAUGCAAGUCGAACGGAAAGGCCCUUCGGGGUACUCGAGUGGCGAACAGGUGAGUAACACGUGGGUGAUCUGCCCUGCACUUUGGGAUAAGCCUGGGAAACUGGGUCUAAUACCGAAUAUGACCAUGCGCCUCCUGGUGUGUGGUGGAAAGCUUUUGCGGUGUGGGAUGGGCCCGCGGCCUAUCAGCUUGUUGGUGGGGUAAUGGCCUACCAAGGCGACGACGGGUAGCCGGCCUGAGAGGGUGACCGGCCACACUGGGACUGAGAUACGGCCCAGACUCCUACGGGAGGCAGCAGUGGGGAAUAUUGCACAAUGGGCGCAAGCCUGAUGCAGCGACGCCGCGUGAGGGAUGACGGCCUUCGGGUUGUAAACCUCUUUCAGCACAGACGAAGCGCAAGUGACGGUAUGUGCAGAAGAAGGACCGGCCAACUACGUGCCAGCAGCCGCGGUAAUACGUAGGGUCCGAGCGUUGUCCGGAAUUACUGGGCGUAAAGAGCUCGUAGGUGGUUUGUCGCGUUGUUCGUGAAAACUCACAGCUUAACUGUGGGCGUGCGGGCGAUACGGGCAGACUUGAGUACUGCAGGGGAGACUGGAAUUCCUGGUGUAGCGGUGGAAUGCGCAGAUAUCAGGAGGAACACCGGUGGCGAAGGCGGGUCUCUGGGCAGUAACUGACGCUGAGGAGCGAAAGCGUGGGGAGCGAACAGGAUUAGAUACCCUGGUAGUCCAA